CCGGGACUGAUCGUAGCCUUCAACACUCGAAGCGAAGUGUUGAGGUAGACGUUUAGCCCGAAA
rfam:Caenorhabditis briggsae complete genome, chrIII